rnacentral:piRNA from 1 species
CAGAUGAUCAGACCUGCACCCAAAUGGUC